AUUGAACGCUGGCGGCAGGCCUAACACAUGCAAGUCGAGCGGGGUUUUCGGACCUAGCGGCGGACGGGUGAGUAAUGCGUAGGAAGCUGCCCGAUAGAGGGGGAUACCAGUUGGAAACGACUGUUAAUACCGCAUAAUGUCUACGGACCAAAGUGUGGGACCUUCGGGCCACAUGCUAGCGGAUGCGCCUACGUGGGAUUAGCUAGUUGGUGAGGUAAUGGCUCACCAAGGAGACGAUCUCUAGCUGGUUUGAGAGGAUGAUCAGCCACACUGGAACUGAGACACGGUCCAGACUCCUACGGGAGGCAGCAGUGGGGAAUAUUGGACAAUGGGCGCAAGCCUGAUCCAGCCAUGCCGCGUGUGUGAAGAAGGCCUUCGGGUUGUAAAGCACUUUCAGCGAGGAGGAAGGGAUGUAUGUGAAUAGCAUGCAUUUUUGACGUUACUCGCAGAAGAAGCACCGGCUAACUCUGUGCCAGCAGCCGCCGUAACAC
rnacentral:rRNA from 1 species